CACACAGCUUCUCAAACGGACACAGAUCCCAUGAUACCGGCAACCACUGCAGCGCCGAAUGGCACAGCACUCGCCACCAAACAGGACUUACAAACCUGGGUGCAGGACAUACAAAAAAUGCUGGCUAUAGAUGUGGGUCUCCUAAAGGCUGACAUGCAAAAUGUCACCGGCCGCGUGCGAGCGACGGAGGAAGACAUCAUGGACAUGCAAAGCGGAAUGACU